AGGACGAACGCUGGCGGCGUGCCUAAUACAUGCAAGUUGAGCGCUGAAGGUUGGUACUUGUACCAACUGGAUGAGCAGCGAACGGGUGAGUAACGCGUGGGGAAUCUGCCUUUGAGCGGGGGACAACAUUUGGAAACGAAUGCUAAUACCGCAUAAAAACUUUAAACACAAGUUUUAAGUUUGAAAGAUGCAAUUGCAUCACUCAAAGAUGAUCCCGCGUUGUAUUAGCUAGUUGGUGAGGUAAAGGCUCACCAAGGCGAUGAUACAUAGCCGACCUGAGAGGGUGAUCGGCCACAUUGGGACUGAGACACGGCCCAAACUCCUACGGGAGGCAGCAGUAGGGAAUCUUCGGCAAUGGACGAAAGUCUGACCGAGCAACGCCGCGUGAGUGAAGAAGGUUUUCGGAUCGUAAAACUCUGUUGGUAGAGAAGAACGUUGGUGAGAGUGGAAAGCUCAUCAAGUGACGGUAACUACCCAGAAAGGGACGGCUAACUACGUGCCAGCAGCCGCGGUAAUACGUAGGUCCCGAGCGUUGUCCGGAUUUAUUGGGCGUAAAGCGAGCGCAGGUGGUUUAUUAAGUCUGGUGUAAAAGGCAGUGGCUCAACCAUUGUAUGCAUUGGAAACUGGUAGACUUGAGUGCAGGAGAGGAGAGUGGAAUUCCAUGUGUAGCGGUGAAAUGCGUAGAUAUAUGGAGGAACACCGGUGGCGAAAGCGGCUCUCUGGCCUGUAACUGACACUGAGGCUCGAAAGCGUGGGGAGCAAACAGGAUUAGAUACCCUGGUAGUCCACGCCGUAAACGAUGAGUGCUAGAUGUAGGGAGCUAUAAGUUCUCUGUAUCGCAGCUAACGCAAUAAGCACUCCGCCUG
rnacentral:rRNA from 1 species